rnacentral:rRNA from 1 species
AGUCAAUAGAUACCCGGGUAGUCCACGCCGUAAACGAUGAGUACUAGGUGUAGGAGGUAUCGACUCCUUCUGUGCCGCAGUUAAACACAAUAAGUACUCCGCCUGGGAAGUACGGUCGCAAGAUUAAAAACUCAAAGGAAUUGACGGGGGCCCGCACAGGCAGCGGAGCAUGUGGUUUAAUUCGAAGCAACGCGAAGAACCUUACCUAGACUUGACAUCUCCUGAAUAGUGUAGAGAUACAUGAAGCCCUUCGGGGCAGGAAGACAGGUGGUGCAUGGUUGUCGUCAGCUCGUGUCGUGAGAUGUUGGGUUAAGUCCCGCAACGAGCGCAACCCUUAUUACUAGUUGCUACCAUUAAGUUGAGCACUCUAGUGAGACUGCCCGGGUUAACCCGGGG